rnacentral:rRNA from 1 species
UACGAAGGGUGCAAACGUUGCUCGGAAUUAUUGGGCGUAAAGCGCGCGUAGGCGGCGCGGUAUGUCGUGCGUGAAAUCUCCCGGCUUAACUGGGAGGGGCCGUGCGAAACUGCCGGGCUUGAGGUCGGAAGGGGAAAGUGGAAUUCCGGGUGUAGUGGUGGAAUACGUAGAUAUCCGGAGGAACACCAGCGGCGAAGGCGGCUUUCUGGUCCGAUACUGACGCUGAGGUGCGAAAGCGUGGGGAGCGAUCCGG